rnacentral:rRNA from 1 species
GACGAACGCUGGCGGCGCGCCUAACACAUGCAAGUCGAACGAGCGAGAGAGAGCUUGCUUUCUUGAGCGAGUGGCGAACGGGUGAGUAACGCGUGAGGAACCUGCCUCAAAGAGGGGGACAACAGUUGGAAACGACUGCUAAUACCGCAUAAGCCCACGGUGCCGCAUGGCACAGAGGGAAAAGGAGCAAUCCGCUUUAAGAUGGCCUCGCGUCCGAUUAGCUAGUUGGUGAGGUAACGGCCCACCAAGGCGACGAUCGGUAGCCGGACUGAGAGGUUGAACGGCCACAUUGGGACUGAGACACGGCCCAGACUCCUACGGGAGGCAGCAGUGGGGAAUAUUGCACAAUGGGGGAAACCCUGAUGCAGCGACGCCGCGUGGAGGAAGAAGGUCUUCGGAUUGUAAACUCCUGUUGUUGGGGAAGAUAAUGACGGUACCCAACAAGGAAGUGACGGCUAACUACGUG